UCCUUAUCCGCCCGCUCGCCCUUUCCUCCUCCAUUGAGCCCGGGCGCCCCCUUUGGCCGAAACCCUAGCCCCUUUUUGCCCCUCCACCAGAGCCGUCACCAUCUCCAUUGUUGCCGCCAGCGAGCUUCGAUUCAUCAUCUCCGGCACCCCGGCGGAGCCCCGUCGCCACCACCGCUGGACGCCGUCGCGCCGCCCGUCCGCCGCCGCUCCCCGUCCGCGCCACCGCCAGUGAGGUUCGCCGGCCACUCCCCUCCCUUGUGCGCGUGCCUGUGAUCCUAGUGCUCCUCUCCUUGGGCGGCAACGCUGAAGCACGGCAGCUCUGUGCAUGCGCCAUGGGUCUGUUCGUGGACAUGAAGAAGAUGAACAGUGUGACCGAACCGCCGGAGGUCGAACCCGUGGAGCCCGCCGAACCCGU